rnacentral:rRNA from 1 species
GACGAACGCUGGCGGCGUGCUUAACACAUGCAAGUCGAACGGAAAGGCCCUGCUUUUGUGGGGUGCUCGAGUGGCGAACGGGUGAGUAACACGUGAGUAACCUGCCCUUGAUUUUGGGAUAACUUCAGGAAACUGGGGCUAAUACCGGAUAGGAGCUCCUGCUGCAUGGUGGGGGUUGGAAAGUUUCGGCGGUUGGGGAUGGACUCGCGGCUUAUCAGCUUGUUGGUGGGGUAGUGGCUUACCAAGGCUUUGACGGGUAGCCGGCCUGAGAGGGGGACCGGCCACCUUGGGACUGAGAUACGGCCCAGACUCCUACGGGAGGCAGCAGUGGGGAAUAUUGCACAAUGGGCGGAAGCCUGAUGCAGCAACGCCGCGUGCGGGAUGACGGCCUUCGGGUUGUAAACCGCUUUCGCCUGUGACGAAGCGUGAGUGACGGUAAUGGGUAAAGAAGCACCGGCUAACUACGUG